ACUUAAAAAUAUUUUUAUGAUGAUUCAGCAAUUAAUGCAACAACAACAACAACUAUUCCUACUACUACUACAAAAGUAACAUACUGGACAUUAUUUUUGGGAAUUUGUGUAGGUAGCAACCAGUAUUUUCCCCCAAUGCGUGGUCUAUGAAGGAAAAAGGAAAUUUGCAAAUUUUAAGGAACAUUAGUGAGAAAAAAUUAAAUUAUGAGUUCAAGUGGACUUUUCUUUUUAAAAGAUUUUUAUUUUAUCUUUGUUUGUGUAUGUGCAUCUGCAUAUGCAGGUAUCCACAUGGGCCGUGGAGGGUGCCAGACCCUUGGGGCCUUUGUCCUUGUGGGGCCAUCUUUCCGGCUCUUCAGAUAACCUAGAAGGUUAUCUGAAGUUAGAAACUUUGGGCAGAUUUUACUUUCUUUGUGAGAGUUGUGGAAUUGGGACCAGUCAGAAAUUCACCCUUAUUAUAUGGCUGAGACUUCAGAUUGCAUCUCUCAGAAGGAGAUCUGGAGUCUGCAGGAAGGCAGCGGUCGGUCGGUGUAGGGAGAGAGGCUGAGGGUUCAUUUAUCUUCCCUGGGGCCUCACAGAGAACCCAGAAUACAGCCAACUUGGGCUCAGCUCUCCUGACCGCCUCUGGCUUCCUGCCUGCAGGAUUUCAGCAGUCAGACCGAUGCUAAUGGCUGUGAGUAGAAAUCAAAGGCCCUGAAGCCCAGACUCAGUCCACUCUGCUGUGUCAACAGGGAUUAGCUGUUCAGUUCUGUGAUUUUGGGUAGGUUCCUCUUAAACUGUAACAAAACCAAUGUUGUUCAUUUUUUUCCCUCUUGCAAAAGGUCUUUUUAUUUUUCUCUUAUUCGUUAAAACCUCCGGAUGGGAGUUUGUUGAAAUCCCCAUUUUUAUUCCAACCUUAUCGUACAUAUGUGGAUUCUGCGUGUUGUUUUCUAACACACUCAAAAUGAGAUUAUAACAAUCAGCUCUUUCAUAGAUGAUCUGACUUAGGCGGGACAUUCGACACACGUGUGUGAUUUACUUUCCUGUCAGCAGAAUGCAUGUUUGUAGGAGGCAUGAUCGUUCCACUGGACCAAAGGGUAGCAGGGCAGGGUUAGGCUGCUAGUGGUGAUGGGAUAUGGGUUUCAAACAGACCAUUGAGUGUUUCACAUGUCUGUGCAAGUGGUCCACACCAACAGUGUGCGAGCGGUUCACACCCACGGCUGCAAUUUAGGGCAAUGCUGAUUAAUUAUCCUUGGGAUGCGGGUCCCAGGAGGUCUGCUUUUGAUUUAAUUUAUCUAAUAUUCAUGUGCAUGUGUCUGGUGCACAUGUGUGUAUAUGCAUGUUUGCAUGUGUGUGGUGGACUCAGGCUUGCAUGGGUGCAUGCGGAGGCUGGAGGUUGAUAUCAGGAAUCAUCCCAGCUGCUCUUUCAUACCAGACACAGGUUUCUCAGCCAGACCCGGAGCUCUCCCGAAAAGGCUAGUGUCUCUCAGCUUGUCCUGGGGGUCCCCUCUGCCUUCUGAGGUUGUAGUUACAGCUCACCUGCCACACUUGUCUUCCCGAAAGAGUCUAGGAAUCCAAACUCCAGCCCUUACACUUGCAUAGAGCACACACUAGCUGCCUAGACAACUCCCCAGCCCCAGCGAUGCUCCCUAGGUGGCUGUGAUGUGAGACUCAUGUCUACUUCCUGUCUAAUAUUCUCACCUUCAGGGACAGCAUCUCCACACCUCUAUUUAUGCUGUGCUUCUGAUGUGGAUGGAUAUGUUUGGCCCUCCUGUGGGUUCUACAGAGUGAAAACAUUUAAAAGAAAAAUUGAACCAAAUAGUACUUUUUUUUAUUAUUUUUUAUUCCAUAAAGAAUGUAGAAUAGGGAUUGGAGAGAUGGGUCACUGGUUAAGAGUACUUGUUUUUGCAGAGGACUGUGGUUUAGUUCCCAGCACCCACAUGGAGGCUCACAACUGCCUUUAACUCUAAUUCCAGGGGAUCCAACUCUUUUUCUGACUUCUGCAUGUUCCUGUAUACACAUGUGUGCUCACAUACACGCAUACACACACACACACACACACACACACACAAUAAUAACUCAGAGACAAUUUCAAGUUUACCAGUGAAUAUAUGUACGUUAUAUGCAAAGACCAUGCUGUUAGGCCUCCAAUGCAGGUAUGCACACACACACACACAUAUACAGCAUGAGUGUGCGUGUGUGUGCACAUGUGCUUAUGCCGCUCAUCUUAUAUAUUUAACCAAACUACACAUAACUUAUCCUUGUUGUUUCUUGGCAAAAGCAUAGUAGAAAAUAUCUCUAGUCAAGACAAUCAUAAGCUAUUCUGCGGCUAACACAGUGCUGGUGUUCUUUAAUAGCUGAAUGGCAUGUGCU
rnacentral:lncRNA from 1 species